rnacentral:rRNA from 1 species
AUUGAACGCUGGCGGCAGGCCUAACACAUGCAAGUCGGGCGAGUGGCGGACGGGUGAGUAAUGUAUGGGGAUCUGCCUGAUGGCGGGGGAUAACUACUGGAAACGGUAGCUAAUACCGCAUACCAUCGGAUGAACCCAGAUGGGAUUAGCUAGUAGGUAAGGGAAAGGCUCACCUAGGCGAAGAUCCCUAGCUGGUCUGAGAGGAUGAUCAGCCACACGGGGACUGAGACACGGCCCAGACUCCUACGGGAGGCAGCAGUGGGGAAUAUUGCACAAUGGGCGCAAGCCUGAUGCAGCCAUGCCGCGUGUAUGAAGAAGGCCUUAGGGUUGUAAAGUACUUUCAGUGGGGAGGCGUUACCGACAGAAGAAGCACCGGCUAACUCCGUGCCAGCAGCCGCGGUAAUUC